AGGACGAACGCUGGCGGCGUGCUUAACACAUGCAAGUCACGGGGGCCCGCAAGGGCAACCGGCGAACGGGUGCGUAACACGUGAGCAACCUGCCUUUGUGCGGGGGAUAGCCGGGCUAACGCCUGGGUAAUACCGCAUACGGUUCUCGAGGGGAGUCCCUUGGGAAAGAAACCUCCGGGGCACAGAGAGGGGCUCGCGGCCUAUCAGCUAGUUGGUGUGGGUAACGGCCCACCAAGGCGACGACGGGUAGCU
rnacentral:rRNA from 1 species